GCCGCGGUGGUGGAAUUGGUAGACACGCUGGUCUUAGGAACCAGUGCCUUUUGGCGUGAAGGUUCGAGUCCUUUCCGCGGCACUA
rnacentral:tRNA from 1 species